rnacentral:lncRNA from 1 species
AUGGCACCUGAGACAGAUGUGGAGGGGGGCAUGGAGCUAAGGGAUGCCUGGCUGGGCUCUGGGAACAGCCUUCUCUGCGCAUGCCUGCACGUGGCGCCCCGUGAAUGGGCGGCUCAGCACGGCUCCAGGGAGGACACAGCUCAGAAACUGUCCCAGAGAACCAGGUGUCCGGCAGCCAGCCUCAACCCGCCCUGCCUCCUCAAGUGGGGUCUUCUCAAGACCCUCUCUGGGGCUGUGAGAUGGCGCAGCGCAGCUUGCAGACCGCAGGGGAGACGCUGCUCCCCAAACGUGGCUGGCCUGAUGGGCUCGAGCCACAUCUGGUUCCCAUUCAAAUGUCCAAACGUAAUUAAAUUCUCUCCGACGCAGCGGAAGAGUUUGGUAAGAUGUGGCUUUCCCCCUUCCACCAGGGUUAAGAAAUCACUGUCUCGCACUCCAGUGGCUGACCGGCGCUCCUCCCGGCCGCCGAUCCCUCCUGCUCCACCAAGGAAGGGCCUGUGUUCGGCUCUGUUUUCUUGGGCUGAAGGGGCCAGGGCCCUCCCCGCAAGGAGGAACAGCAGAGGCCAGAGCUCCUGCGGGCUUCAUCGGGGUGGGGAGGCGAGCCACCCUGGGAAGACAGCUGCGGGACCCAGGCUCACCCUGGGGACACACCAGUGUCUGGAUGCGCGGGGUCUUGUGACACCCUGCCGAGGGAUUCCCCUCUCUGUAGCUCCUCACAGCAGGAUGCGAGUGCAUCUCUGGCCUGCCUCUGUGGGCAAUGCAGCCGCCCCAAGUCAGGCCCAGGAGCCCGCCCAAGGGAUCCCCCGGGGCCGCCACGUCACAGGGGCUUGCUGGUUGCCUCUGGCCUGUCAGAGCCCCAAACGGGUUAAGGGGCAGCUGGGUCCAAGGUACCGGGCCUUGGUGGGAUGGAGGGCGGCCCCUUCCACAGCGAGGAGGCCCACUCACCCGAGGCGUCGGUGCCUCUCCUGGCCUCCUGUUCGGCCCCUGCCUGAAUUCAAGCACAGUCCCCUGGGUGGGCUUGCCUUUUCCAGCUUCCCUUCCCAACUGAGCACCUUCAGUAUACGGCUUCUUUUUACUUAG